rnacentral:rRNA from 1 species
CUACGGGAUGCUGCAGUGGGGAAUAUUGCACAAUGGAGGAAACUCUGAUGCAGCAACGCCGCGUGGAGGAUGACACUUUUCGGAGCGUAAACUCCUUUUAUAUAGGAAGAAGAUGACGGUACUAUAUGAAUAAGCGCCGGCUAACUCCGUGCCAGCAGCCGCGGUAAUACGGAGGGCGCAAGCGUUACUCGGAAUCACUGGGCGUAAAGAGCGUGUAGGCGGACUAAAAAGUCAGAAGUGAAAUCCUAUAGCUUAACUAUAGAACUGCUUCUGAAACUCUUAAUCUAGAAUAUGGGAGAGGUAGAGGGAAUUUCUGGUGUAGGGGUAAAAUCCGUAGAGAUCAGAAGGAAUACCGAUUGCGAAGGCGAUCUACUAGAACAUUAUUGACGCUGAGACACGAAAGCGUGGGGAGCAAACAGGAUUAGAUACCCUCGUAGUC